ACAAGCGGAGGAGCAUGUGGUUUAAUUCGAUGAUACGCGAGGAACUUACCUGGGCUCGAACGUAAGAUGACUGUAGGUGAAAGCUUACAUCUCUUCGGAGCAUUUUACGAGGUGCUGCAUGGUUGUCGUCAGCUCGUGCCGUGAGGUGUCGGGUUAAGUCCCAUAACGAGCGCAACCCCUACCUUUAGUUGCCAUCAGGUUAAGCUGGGGACUCUAAAGGAACUGCCUACGCAAGUAGUGAGGAAGGCGGGGAUGACGUCAAAUCAGCACGGCCCUUACGUCCAGGGCUACACACGUGCUACAAUGGCCGAUACAGAGGGCAGCUACCUGGUGACAGGAUGCAAAUCUCCAAAGUCGGUCUCAGUUCGGAUCGGAGUCUGCAACCCGACUCCGUGAAGUUGGAUUCGCUAGUAAUCGCGCAUCAGCCAUGGCGCGGUGAAUACGUUCCCGGGCCUU
rnacentral:rRNA from 1 species